rnacentral:rRNA from 1 species
GUCUAUAUCCACACCACUUUGAAUGUGCCUGAUCGCGUGUAAUCUUGGAAGCUAAGCAGGGCUGGCCUGAUUGGUACUUGAAUGGGAGAAAAGCAACUAUCUCCUGAGACACUUGAAGCACAAUCUGGGUC